rnacentral:rRNA from 1 species
GAUGAAGUGCCUAAGUGUUUGGAGGGUUUAGCGACCCUUCAGUUGCUGCAGCAAAACGCAUUAAGGCACUCCGCCUGCGGAGUACGACCGCAAGGGUUGAAACUCAAAGGAAUUUGACGGGGGCCCGCACAAAGCGGUGGAGCAUGUGGUUUUAAUUCGAAGCAACGCGAAGAACCUUACCAGGUCUUGACAUCCUUUGACCACUCUAGAGAUAGAGCUUUCCCUUCGGGGACAAAGUGGACAGGUGGUGCAUGGUUGUCGUCAGCUCGUGUCGUGAGAUGUUGGGUUAAGUCCCGCAACGAGCGCAACCCUUAUUGUUAGUUGCCAUCAUUUAGUUGGGCACUCUAGCGAGACUGCCGGUGACAAACCGGAGGAAGGUGGGGAUGACGUCAAAUCAUCAUGCCCCUUAUGACCUGGGCUACACACGUGCUACAAUGGGAAGUACAACGAGUCGCUAGACCGCGAGGUCAUGCAAAUCUCUUAAAGCUUCUCUCAGUUCGGAUUCAGGCUGCAACUCGCCUGCAUGAAGCCGGAAUCGCUAGUAAUCGCGGAUCAGCACGCGCGGUGAAUACGUUCCCGGGCCUGGCACCCGCCCGUCCCCCGAGUGUUUGUAUAUCCGAAGUCGGAGAG